rnacentral:rRNA from 1 species
GACAGCAGUCGCGGUAAUACAGAGGGUGCGAGCGUUAAUCGGAUUUACUGGGCGUAAAGCGUGCGUAGGCGGCUUCUUAAGUCGGAUGUGAAAUCCCUGAGCUUAACUUAGGAAUUGCAUUCGAUACUGGGAAGCUAGAGUAUGGGAGAGGAUGGUAGAAUUCCAGGUGUAGCGGUGAAAUGCGUAGAGAUCUGGAGGAAUACCGAUGGCGAAGGCAGCCAUCUGGCCUAAUACUGACGCUGAGGUACGAAAGCAUGGGGAGCAAACAGGAUUAGAUACCCCAGUAGUCCCUGUCUCUUAUACACA